ensembl:lncRNA
AUUUACAAUAGUCAAAUUCAUAGAGACAGAGAGUAGAAUGAAGGUUGACAGAAGCUAGGGGGAGUGGGGAAUGGGAAGUUACUUCUUAGUCGAUAUAGAAUUUCAGUUUUACAAAAUGAAGAGUUCAGAGUUCCAGAGCCUGGUUGCCCAACAAUGUGAAUGCAUUUAAUACCACCGAACUGCAGGCUUACAAAUGGCUAGGAUGGUGCAGUUUAUGUUAUGUGUAUUUCAAUGAAAAUUUGGAAGAAAAUACGAAAAAGGAGGAAUGAGUGAGAACCAGUAUGGUUUGUGGGAGGAAUGUUAAGCAGGUGCUGCUGCUGAGAGUAAAAUGGGAAGCAGAAAGAGAGAGAGUGAGGCUGAGGGGAGAACAGAGACCAGGUUUAUUCAGUCUGGAGAUGUUCUUUCAGGCCAUGUGUUCUUCUAGGAAAGGGAGAUACUGUGGAGCUUAGAGGCUUGACCCCGGCCCUUAGGUCUUUGGGUCUUCUCGUUGAGGCAAGAAGGAGCCAUUGAUGGUGUUAAGCAGGAAAAGCAGCAAGAUCCGAUUUGCAUUUUAGGAUUAUUCCUCUGGCUGAAUGCAAAUGAGUUGGAGGGGGCGACAUGGAGGAGGGAGGCAGAGUCACUGGUAAUCAAAAAGUAGAUGAUAAAGGCCUGAACAGGGAGGAAGAUCUCCACACAGCCCUGGUUUCCCAAGUAGAUUUUCCAGUCGUGACAUCCUUUGAUCUUCGCAUGAGACUUUGUUGAUGAAACAACGGGACACAGCAGGGGUACAGGGUUUUUCCAUGUUGCUCAGGCUGGUCUUGAACUCCCAACCUCAGGUGAUCCACCCCCCUUGGCCUCUCAUAGUGCUGGGAUUACAGGCAUGAGCCACCACGCCUGGUCAAUCAAAUGGCUUUAUAAAGAGGAGUUCUCCUGCACAAGUUCUCUUCUCCCUGCCACCAUGUAAGAUGUGACUUGCUCUUCCUUGUCUUCUGCCAUGAUGAUGAAGUCGCCUCAGCCACAUGGAACUAGCCAGGGAGAGUCACAGGGCUUACUCAUGCCUGGAGUGGUGGACUCAUGCUCUAAACCAGUCUUCAUCAUGGACAUUUGGAGCCCUGUGCUGCUAUUGAUAAGAAGCAGGUCUCUUGAUCCAGUCUACCCUCUAAGGGAGGAAAUUGUGAAAGACCACAAAUACCAGGUGUGGGAAUUAUUGGAGUCAUGUCAGAAGCUACCUAAGGCAAGUAUGAUUGAAGUAUGAUUUUUAUAGCUCCAGCACCCACCCUCCAACCUCGGAAAAGCUAUGUGAUUUCCCUAAGCCUUUAUUUUCUUGUCUGUCAAAUAGGUAUAAUAAUAGUACCCAUGUCAUGGAGUUGUUAGGCUUAAAUACAUAAAGAGAUGUUAAGAUAUCUGGCAACUGUACUAAAUCCUUCUCUGAACCACUGUUGGCCAGGUGGUGUAGAAUCAUCCUACCUUCCCAUGAAGCCUCUGGAAAGGUGUCACACAGAGGAAAGAAGCUGCAUGCUGGAAACUGGAGUUUCAGCUCCCUGACUUGCUGUGUGAUUUUUGUACACUUUCUUUCUCUUCUCUGGAACUUUGUCUGUUUAUCUGUAAAAUUAGAGGAUUAAAAGAGAUGGCAAAAUCUUUUCACUUUUCUGUGGCAAUUCUGAAUGGUUGGAUGUGGAUCUCUGGAACUUUGUAUUGAAAAAGAUUUCAAUGGUGUGGGGAAGUCAGUUCACAGAGUCUCAAGAGAGCCAACUGAUCACGUCACUUACCAACUCUGCAUUUGGCGAUCCCACAUUGGUAGCUUGAUGCCAGCCAUGAUGGGAAAAUUUACAGCAUGCGUAUCUGCCAGCUAUGAACCAGAGCUCACCUCAGCCUCACCAAAAGUGGGCUGUUAAACAGUAUUCAUUGUACCACUCAUUUCGAAGCCCCAUGGGAAAAAGAACAAUUAUUUUCUGUAAUACUUGCCAGAGCCCCAGGAAGAGGAUAUAGAGCAAUGAGUGAUGAAUGUAUAUUUACCAUCUCUGGUUGGUUGAUUUCUGUCAUGUUCCCUUCACUGAUAACCUUUUCUGCAUUUUUUAGAAGAAAAAGUGCUUUGUCAGGGAAAGGGUUGCUAGCAUAGGCUCCCACUCUGAAUAAAAGACAUUCUGAAGUCCAGUUUAUCAACUGCUGACCGUAUUCUCUUGUCUCUGUUUAUUUUAUUUUAUUUUUUGAGUCAGAGUCUUGCUCUGUCACCAGGUGCCAGGCUGGAGUGUAGUGGAGCAAUCGUGGCUCACUGCAACCUCUGCCUCUCGGGUUCAAGCAAUUCUCCUGUCAUAGCCUCCCGAGUAGCUGGGACUACAGAUGCGUACCAUCAUGCCCAGCUAAUUUUGGUAUUUUUUUUAAGUAGAGAUG